GACGAACUCUGGCGGCGUGCCUAAUACAUGCAAGUCGAGCGGACCGGAUUGGGGCUUGCCUUGAUUCGGUCAGCGGCGGACGGGUGAGUAACACGUGGGCAACCUGCCCGCAAGACCGGGAUAACUCCGGGAAACCGGAGCUAACACCGGAUAACACCGAAGACCGCAUGGUCUUCGGUUGAAAGGCGGCCUUUGGGCUGUCACUUGCGGAUGGGCCCGCGGCGCAUUAGCUAGUUGGUGAGGUAACGGCUCACCAAGGCGACGAGGCGUAGCCGGCCUGAGGGGGUGACCGGCCACACUGGGACUGAGACACGGCCCAGACGCCUACGGGAGGCAGCAGUAGGGAAUCUUCCGCAAUGGGCGAAAGCCUGACGGAGCGACGCCGCGUGAGCGAAGAAGGCCUUCGGGUCGUAAAGCUCUGUUGUGAGGGACGAAGGAGCGCCGUUCGAAGAGGGCGGCGCGGUGACGGUACCUCACGAGAAAGCCCCGGCUAACUACGUGCCAGCCGCCGCAGUAA
rnacentral:rRNA from 1 species